UACGAAGGGGGCUAGCGUUGUUCGGAAUCACUGGGCGUAAAGCGCACGUAGGCGGAUUUUUAAGUCAGGGGUGAAAUCCCGAGGCUCAACCUCGGAACUGCCUUUGAUACUGGAGAUCUCGAGUCCGGGAGAGGUGAGUGGAACUGCGAGUGUAGAGGUGAAAUUCGUAGAUAUUCGCAAGAACACCAGUGGCGAAGGCGGCUCACUGGCCCGGAACUGACGCUGAGGUGCGAAAGCGUGGGGAGCAAACAG
rnacentral:rRNA from 1 species